rnacentral:rRNA from 1 species
GUCAAGUUAUUAAGGGUGCAGGGCGGAUGCCUUGGCACUAGGAGCCGAUGAAGGACGUGAUAAGCUGCGAUAAGCUUCGGGGAGUUGCACGUAAACUUUGAUCCGAAGAUUUCCGAAUGAGGAAACUCACUUAGAGUAAUGUCUAAGUAUCAUUAAGUGAAUACAUAGCUUAAUGAGGGGAACUCAGGGAACUGAAACAUCUAAGUACCUGAAGGAAGAGAAAGAAAUUCGAUUCCGUAAGUAGCGGCGAGCGAACGCGGAUUAGCCCAAACCAAUAAAGUUUUCUUUAUUGGGGUUGCGGACAUAUCAUAACGAAGAGGUAUCGUAAUUGAAGAGGUUUGGAAAGACCCACCACAGAAGGUAAUAGUCCUGUAUGUUAAACGAGAAGACUUUAGAUAUGAUCCAGAGUACCACGGGACACGUGAAACCCUGUGGGAAGCAGGAGGGACCACCCUCCAAGGCUAAAUACUACCUAGUGACCGAUAGCGUAUAGUACCGUGAGGGAAAGGUGAAAAGAACCCCGGGAGGGGAGUGAAAUAGAACCUGAAACCCUGCACUUACAAGCUGUGGAAGCACAUUUCUUGUGUGACCGCGUACUUUUUGUAGAACGGGCCAACGAGUUACGUUAAGUAGCAAGGUUAAGCACUUAAGGUGCGGAGCCGUAGCGAAAGCGAGUUUUAACUGAGCGUUCAGUUACUUGACGUAGACCCGAAACCGGGCGACCUACCCAUGAGCAGGAUGAAGCGAAAGUAAAAUUUCGUGGAGGUCCGAACCCACGAGCGUUGAAAAGCUCGGGGAUGACUUGUGGGUAGCGGUGAAAUUCCAAUCGAGCCCGGAGAUAGCUGGUUCUCCCCGAAAUAGCUUUAGGGCUAGCCUCAAGGUGAGAGAUACGGAGGUAGAGCACUGAAUGUCCUAGGGGGUAUUGCACCUACCGAAGACUAUCAAACUCCGAAUGCCGUCAUCUUAUACUUGGGAGUCAGACUGUGGGUGAUAAGAUUCAUAGUCGAAAGGGCAACAGCCCAGAUCGUCAGCUAAGGUCCCUAAAUGUAAGUUAAGUGGUAAAGGAUGUGGGAUUGCACAGACAACCAGGAUGUUGGCUUAGAAGCAGCCACUCAUUCAAAGAGUGCGUAAUAGCUCACUGGUCGAGUGAUCCUGCGCCGAAGAUUUCCGGGGCUAAAACUUACUACCGAAGCUACGGCAUCAGUAAUGAUGGGUAGGGGAGCUUCCCAUACGGGUUGAAGCAUGACCGUAAGGACAUGUGGACAGUAUGGGAGUGAGAAUGUUGGCAUGAGUAGCGAGAUGUGGGUGAGAAUCCCACAGGCCGUAAACCCAAGGUUUCCAGGGGAAGGUUCGUCCGCCCUGGGUUAGUCGGGACCUAAGCUGAGGCCGAAAGGCGUAGGUGAUGGACAACAGGUUGAUAUUCCUGUACUACCGAUAACCGUUUGAGAGAAGGGAUGACACAGUAGGAUAAGCUAAGCACACUGUUGGUUAUGUGUGCCCAAGCAUUGAGGCAGUCAAAGUAGGCAAAUCCGCUUUGAUAAUGCUGGGAUGUGAUGGGGAGCGAAAUUUAGUAGCGAAGUAGCUGAUUUCACACUGUCAAGAAAAGUCUCUAUCGAGGUUAAAGGUACCCGUACCGCAAACCGACACAGGUGGGUGAGGAGAGUAUCCUAAGGCCAGCGAGAGAACUGUUGUUAAGGAACUCGGCAAAAUGACCCCGUAACUUAGGGAUAAGGGGUGCCACCAUCAGGUGGCCGCAGAGAAUAGGCCCAAGCGACUGUUUACCAAAAACAUAGGUUUCUGCUAAGUCGCAAGACGAUGUAUAGGAGCUGACGCCUGCCCGGUGCUGGAAGGUUAAGGGGAUCUGUUAGAGCAAUCGAAGCAGUGAACUUAAGCCCCAGUAAACGGCGGCCGUAACUAUAACGGUCCUAAGGUAGCGAAAUUCCUUGUCGGGUAAGUUCCGACCCGCACGAAAGGCGUAACGAUUUGGGCACUGUCUCAACAACAGACUCGGUGAAAUUGUAAUUCCGGUGAAGAUGCCGGAUACCUGCGACAGGACGGAAAGACCCCAUGGAGCUUUACUGUAGCUUGACAUUGGGUCUUGGUACUACAUGUACAGGAUAGGUGGGAGGCUUUGAAACCAGGACGCCAGUUUUGGCGGAGCCAUCCUUGGGAUACCACCCUUGUAGUACUGGGACUCUAACCAUAGGCCAUGAAUCUGGUCUUGGGACACUGUCAGGUGGGCAGUUUGACUGGGGCGGUCGCCUCCCAAAAGGUAACGGAGGCGCUCAAAGGUUCUCUCAGUACGGUCGGAAAUCGUACGUAGAGUGUAAAGGCAAAAGAGAGCUUGAUUGCAAGACAUACAGGUCGAGCAAGGAUGAAAAUCGGACUUAGUGAUCCGGUGGUUCUGCGUGGAAGGGCCAUCGCUCAACGGAUAAAAGCUACCCUGGGGAUAACAGGCUUAUCUCCCCCAAGAGUCCACAUCGACGGGGAGGUUUGGCACCUCGAUGUCGGCUCAUCACAUCCUGGGGCUGUAGUAGGUCCCAAGGGUUGGGCUGUUCGCCCAUUAAAGUGGUACGCGAGCUGGGUUCAGAACGUCGUGAGACAGUUCGGUCCCUAUCCGUCGCAGGCGUAGGAAAUUUGAGAAGACCUGUCCUUAGUACGAGAGGACCGGGAUGGACGUACCUCUGGUGUACCAGUUGUCCUGCCAAGGGCAUGGCUGGGUAGCUAUGUACGGAAUGGAUAAGCGCUGAAAGCAUCUAAGCGCGAAGCCAACUUCAAGAUAAGAUUUCCCACCGCAAGGGUAAGACCCCAGAAAGACUAUCUGGUUGAUAGGUCGAAGGUGUAAGUGCAGCAAUGUAUUUAGCUUAUCGAUACUAAUAGGUCGAGGACUUGAC